rnacentral:rRNA from 1 species
UAACUCGGGGAGAGGCCUUUCGAAAGAAAGGAUUAAUAUCCNAUAGUAUAUUAANACCGCAUGGGUNUACUAUUAANGAAUUUCGGUUAUCGAUGGGGAUGCGUUCCAUUAGUUUGUUGGCGGGGUAACGGCCCACCAAGACUACGAUGGAUAGGGGUUCUGAGAGGAAGGUCCCCCACAUUGGAACUGAGACACGGUCCAAACUCCUACGGGAGGCAGCAGUGAGGAAUAUUGGUCAAUGGACGAGAGUCUGAACCAGCCAAGUAGCGUGAAGGAUGACUGCCCCANUGGGUUGUAAACUUCUUUUAUAUGGAAAUAAAGUAUUCCACGUGUGGAAUUUUGUAUGUACCAUAUGAAUAAGGAUCGGCUAACUCCGUGCCAGCAGCCNGCGGUAAUACGAAGAAUCCGAGCGUUAUCCGGAUUUAUUUGGGUUUAAAAGGGAGCGUAGGUGGAUUGUUAAGUCAGUUGUGAAAGUUUGCGGCUCAACCGUAAAAUUGCAGUUGAAACUGGCAGUCUUGAGUACAGUAGAGGUGGGCGGAAUUCGUGGUGUAGCGGUGAAAUGCUUAGAUAUCACGAAGAACUCCGAUUGCGAAGGCAGCUCACUAGACUGCAACUGACACUGAUGCUCGAAAGUGUGGGUAUCAAACAGGAUUAGAUACCCUGGUAGUCCACACAGUAAACGAUGAAUACUCGCUGUUUGCGAUAUACAGUAAGCGGCCAAGCGAAAGCAUUAAGUAUUCCACCUGGGGAGUACGCCGGCAACGGUGAAACUCAAAGGAAUUGACGGGGGCCCCGCACAAGCGGAGGAACAUGUGGUUUAAUUCGAUGAUACGCGAGGNAACCUUACCCGGGCUUAAAUUGCAUUUUGAAUAAUCUGGAAACAGGUUAGCCGCAAGGCAAAUGUGAAGGUGCUGCAUGGUUGUCGUCAGCUCGUGCCGUGAGGUGUCGGCUUAAGUGCCAUAACGAGCGCAACCCUUAUCUUUAGUUACUAACAGGUCAUGCUGAGGACUCUAGAGAGACUGCCGUCGUAAGAUGUGAGGAAGGUGGGGAUGACGUCAAAUCAGCACGGCCCUUACGUCCGGGGCUACACACGUGUUACAAUGGGGGGUACAGAAGGCAGCUACCUGGCGACAGGAUGCUAAUCCCAAAAACCUCUCUCAGUUCGGAUCGAAGUCUGCAACCCGACUUCGUGAAGCUGGAUUCGCUAGUAAUCGCGCAUCAGCCAUGGCGCGGUGAAUACGUUCCCGGGCCUUGUACACACCGCCCGUCAAGCCAUGAAAGCCGGGGGUACCUGAAGUACGUACCGCAAGGAGCUCCUAGG